rnacentral:lncRNA from 1 species
CCCUGAGCUUCGAGUUUUCUACUUGGGUUUCUGAAACAGAUGACUCCAGAAUUCUUUUUUCUUCUUUAAUGGAAUCGAUUGUGUUUCUGAUAUUACUCCCAGAGAAGCUGUUUCCUGUUCCGUUGAGAGUUGGGUUUGCAGGUGGUGGAGGAAAAUCUGAGCUAUCUGACUUGGCUAUGGCAUAAGCAGCAGUAACAGAGGCCGCAGCUGCAGCGGCUGCUGGUGACUUGAAGAUUUUGGGAUGCGAGGAUGGUUCUCCGGGCUUUAGUCUCAUGACGAAUAUCUGCGUAAAGAAGACAAGAGUCGAAUAUAAUGGAUAAGACAUAUGACUAAGGCAUGAUUUGUGUAAGCUGUCUAUGGGCUUACAUCAUUGUUAUACUUCCCGUUAUAGCCGCCAAAAGCUACUAAGAUGUUCUCUCCAAAUACUGAUGCUGAGCACACACUAAGACCCUGCAGUUUACAUAAUACAGCAAUGCAUAAAAAGCUCAGACAUUAAAGAAAUUAAAAAAAAAAAAUUGAAUUCCGGAUUAGUUUAUCAACCUCACUAGCAAGUGGAUGCCUUGCUCCUACAUGUGUUGAUGUAGACCAAACCAGCUUCGACAUAUUUAGAACAAGUGUCUCUAAACAACCUGCACGUGGAAGAAAAGAGUCACAGAGGAGAGAUGCAUGCGGAGUAUUAACUGCAAAAGCCUGUUAGGCGUAAUCUUGAGUGCAUUUACCGGUACUGUUAUCACCACCCCCAACUAUAAACCAGUUUUCGUCAAUGGUUAUUCCUGCGUGUCCUGCCCGAGGAGGUACAUCAUCUCCCUGAACAUGAGGCUGUGACCACUCCAUCUGCGAUGUAUGCAAGACAAUUAUCAGAAACAUGUUGAAAAUGAUAAAUAAAAUUCCAGAAAAAAUGUGCUUACGGUUUGCAAGUCAAGGAUAUGAAGAUCAUUAAAGAAGAUAGAAUGAGAACAACCACCAAAAAUCAAAAGGUAACGAUCGGAAUGCGUAGCAGCUGUGUGGUCAAAUCUGGGAACUGGGCGUGUCUGCCUAUCAAACAAGAAAAGUACACACUUAAGAUCUAAGACCAGCAAGAAAAUAACUGCACUAAAACAUAAAUAAACAUAAAUCUAGUUGAAUAAACUUACGAUGUCUCAACCACAUCCCAAGUCAUUGUCUCGAGAUCAAGAACAUGCAGAUCAUUCAGGAGCCUCCUUUUCUUAUCUUCCCCACCAAAAACAAAAACUCGGGAACCUACCAGCGUAAUGGAAUGUCCACCACGUGAUACCUAUAAAACAAUUAAAAAGGAGUAUAACUAGCCAAAACAUAAAAAUGUGUACGGACCAAUUCAGAUUAACAGUUUCCCUACCGGAACAUUCCCGGAGGCAUCAACGACUCCACACGAUUGUGUUUCCAAAUCAAUAAACCGCACUGUAAAGAAGAAUCAACACAUUCUAUAAGCAUCUAAAAGAGCAUUUCUGUUAAGAGCAAAAGUAUAGUUUAUUCCUCUCAACAAGUCAAAUACAAUCUCUAACCGCCAAAACGGUAAAGAGCCAAGUUCUCGUAGUCAACACUACUCGAAAACAAGAUACAAUCUCACAAAUUGCAUAAAGAACCUUAAGCUUCUACUUCUUCUAUUUAUAGUCCACUAGUGUUGACUUAUUCAACUCAACGAACUCCAACUGUAUUUCCCGCCACUUCCACGUCAUCGAACUCUUCUUGCUCAAUAUUCUCCACUCUUCUUCUAUUCUUCUUCCUCACGUAACAGCGUCUGGGUCUAUCAAUACCCCCCUCCCCGAAAUUGAGCUUGCCCUCAAGCUCAAAGGUAGGAAAAUUCCGUUCCAACUCUGACAACUUCAUCCAUGUCUUCUCGAAAUGAGGAAGUCCACGCCAGCUCAUACCCCAGCCCCAGCCUUGCUUUUUCACGGUCCCGUCUUCUCUUUCAUCCGCUGCUAACUUCUGUUUUCUAAGCAUCUCAACUUCAGCUUCAAUGGAUUGUCCUGACUCCAAUGCUUUCUGCAGUUCUGCUAUUUGUGCCUGAGACAUUCCAUUAGAGAGAGAAUUCGCAAUUGAGUUGGAGAUUUUGGAAAAGAGAGACAAAAGGCGAAAACUUAAGCACACUGUGAAGAUAGAAGGAGGCUUUUGUAUACCUCAAGUUUAAAGCAUCUUGACCUCUCUGAGAUAAGUUGACCUUGUACAGAUUGGAGUUCCUGCAAUAAUGUGAAAAGAUUGUGAAUCUAACACAAAAGGGGGAUAACAUUUCACUUGAGAGUGUUGAGAGGUACGAACUUGAGAUAGUUCAGCGUGGGUGCUAUUAACUUCAUCUAUCUUUUCCCUGAGCUUCGAGUUUUCUACUUGGGUUUCUGAAACAGAUGACUCCAGAAUUCUUUUUUCUUCUUUAAUGGAAUCGAUUGUGUUUCUGAUAUUACUCCCAGAGAAGCUGUUUCCUGUUCCGUUGAGAGUUGGGUUUGCAGGUGGUGGAGGAAAAUCUGAGCUAUCUGACUUGGCUAUGGCAUAAGCAGCAGUAACAGAGGCCGCAGCUGCAGCGGCUGCUGGUGACUUGAAGAUUUUGGGAUGCGAGGAUGGUUCUCCGGGCUUUAGUCUCAUGACGAAU